UACGGGGGGGGCAAGCGUUGUUGCGGAAUUACUGGGCGUAAAGGGUUCGUAGGUGGCUUGCUAAGUCAGACGUGAAAUCCCUCAGCUCAACUGGGGAACUGCCGUCUGAGACUGGCGAGCUUGAGUGCAGGAGAGGAAUGCGGAAUUCCAGGUGUAGGCGGUAGAAAUGCGUAGAUAUCUGGAGGAACACCGGUGGCGAAGGCGGCGUUCUGGACUGCAACUGACACUGGAGGAACGAAAGCCAGGGGAGCAAACGGG
rnacentral:rRNA from 1 species